GGUAUUAUUGUCUAGCGGUUAGAACGCUGGCCUUGUAAUCCUGGGGUCUUGGGUUCGAAUCCCGGCGGUGUCC
rnacentral:tRNA from 1 species